UACGGAGGGUGCAAGCGUUAAUCGGAAUUACUGGGCGUAAAGCGCGCGUAGGCGGCUAGAUAAGUCGGAUGUGAAAGCCCCGGGCUCAACCUGGGAACUGCAUACGAUACUGUUUGGCUAGAGUAUGAGAGAGGGAGGUAGAAUUCCACGUGUAGCGGUGAAAUGCGUAGAUAUGUGGAGGAAUACCGGUGGCGAAGGCAGCCCCCUGGGUCGAUACUGACGCUCAUGCACGAAAGCGUGGGGAGCAAACAGG
rnacentral:rRNA from 1 species